UAGUCCACGCCGUAAACGAUGUCGACUUGGAGGUUGUGCCCUUGAGGCGUGGCUUCCGGAGCUAACGCGUUAAGUCGACCGCCUGGGGAGUACGGCCGCAAGGUUAAAACUCAAAUGAAUUGACGGGGGCCCGCACAAGCGGUGGAGCAUGUGGUUUAAUUCGAUGCAACGCGAAGAACCUUACCUGGUCUUGACAUCCACGGAAGUUUUCAGAGAUGAGAAUGUGCCUUCGGGAACCGUGAGACAGGUGCUGCAUGGCUGUCGUCAGCUCGUGUUGUGAAAUGUUGGGUUAAGUCCCGCAACGAGCGCAACCCUUAUCCUUUGUUGCCAGCGGUCCGGCCGGGAACUCAAAGGAGACUGCCAGUGAUAAACUGGAGGAAGGUGGGGAUGACGUCAAGUCAUCAUGGCCCUUACGACCAGGGCUACACACGUGCUACAAUGGCGCAUACAAAGAGAAGCGACCUCGCGAGAGCAAGCGGACCUCAUAAAGUGCGUCGUAGUCCGGAUUGGAGUCUGCAACUCGACUCCAUGAAGUCGGAAUCGCUAGUAAUCGUGGAUCAGAAUGCCACGGUGAAUACGUUCCCGGGCCUUGUACACACCGCCCGUCACACCAUGGGAGUGGGUUGCAAAAGAAGUAGGUAGCUUAACCUUCGGGAGGGCGCUUACCACUUUGUGAUUCAUGACUGGGGUGAAGUCGUAAC
rnacentral:rRNA from 1 species